GUGUUACUGGUUUAUCUUUUUCCUAAAUUAAAAUCUCUUAUGUCUUUAGUGUUCAGAUAGUAACACAUACUGAUUAAUAAUAAUAUAUUAAAAGUUCAAGACUAAGCAGGAAAAAGAGCUAGAGGCAGUUGAGAAAGAUAUUAUUCUCUUCAUUUAAUAGGGAUUAAAUAAGGUAGAUGAGAAGUUAAGUGAGUUUAUAAAGAUUGUUUAAUAAAUAAGUGGCAAAAAUGGUAUUCAAAGCUAGUUUUUUCUCCAAAUCCUAUGCUUUUUCUAUAGUGUAUCUAAAUCAAUAUUUUUAUUUUUUUUAAUCAAUAGUUAGAAAUACAUUUAUACUGUGUUUUAGGUUCAUGUAGGUUUACUCAAGAAUGUAUUUAUUUCAAUCUAUCUCUGAAGAUUUUCCAAUAUUCUCUUCCCACCAUAUUAAACUUUAUGUGAUCAUAAAUUUUUAAGUUGCUGACUUAAAUUUUACACUUGAUGUGAAAAUAGAUAUUUGCAGUAAAUAGGAGGAGUAAAAUUUCUGAAAUAACAUUGAGGUACUAACCACUGAUGCUAGACAUUCCCAAAUAGUUGAAUUAUAUUUAGACCAGAAGAUGGCAUAAGAGCUAUAGCAAUGGAAAAUUACAUGCAACAGAUUGUGGACUUUCUUAAAGGAUUGCAUUGUAAACCAGCGUAUAUGUUAUGUAAUUAUCUAUUUUUCUGAUAAAAGGAAGCAUUCUUUAUCCUGUGAAAAUUUAUACUACUCUUAAAUUACAUAAUAACUACAGACAAAAACAUAUAACACAAACGUACACACACAAAUCAAAAUUAAAACCACUCAAAUUUCACAAUUCAGAGACAACUAUCUCUAACACAUUAAACAUCUGGGGGUUGGGAGCAAUGUGCAUGCUUUAGAAAGCCAUGUUUUUAUGCCUCAGUCCAAGUUCUAUUCCUUUAGGAAUGGUUCUUCCCUGCAGGAUCAGAGUUUAUGCCUGGAAAGGCAGGAUUCAUAUCCAGAAGACCUAAAUCAGUCCUGAAAGUACAGAGUGCUGGUUGCCUGCAUAUAAGAAAUAGAAGUGGUCUCCUGAGAGCGGUCCACCCACAUGCAGAGGCCUUCUCUUCUACUCACGUUUUUACGACGGCGGAGUUGACUCCUGGUUUGGCUGCCGAUCAUGGGUUGCCUGGAACUUGCCCUGCAGCCUCCAGUGUGGGUGAGAGUCACAUUGGGCCUACCAGAGCAUAGCAGAGCCGGAACACGGGUUCCUCUGGUCUCAUGUAGAACGAGUGCCAUGAUGCCAUCAAUUAAGCAUCGCUCUUGACGUGAAAUGUUUAAAGACAAGGAAUAACUUCAGAAUAUUUAUGAUUAUAAAAUAAUAUAUAAUCACUAUAAAUUUGUUUAAGUACAAGAAAAUAUUAAGGUAAAAACUAGAGCCAUUUAAAAUAUCACCACCCGGAUAAAAUGGCCACUAAUAUUUUAUAUUGUAGAAAUCUUUCCUCCUACUAUCUCUACGCUUACACACACACACACGCGUGCACACACACACACACAGUCACAUUCUCUUUACAUAAUUGCAUACAUUCUAUCAUAUGUUAGAUAUUGUUUUUAACCAGAUUCAAUACAAUGUUGUAUACAUUAAAAUUUAUUGGACUAAACCUCUAUUCAUGAAAGUUUGAGUUGUAUAGAAAUCGGGGCUCAUAAACCAUAUUACAAUGAAUGUACAGUGUACAUCGAUGCUGAUCCAAUUCAUAUUCUUCCCCAAAUGUCCUUGGCCCCACCUGCCUGCCAGGCCUGCAGCGGCUUUCUCGGGAAGCUCAGUGGAGAGGAGA
rnacentral:lncRNA from 12 species